AUGGCUACUACUAGUAGUACGGCCUGGGGAUCUCACCGGCAGUUCUCGGCCCUGCUAUCCUCGGCGGUCCUGGAAUGGGUGCUGAUCCUGCUGAUGCUGCUGGAGGGCCUGCUGUCCCGCCUGGCCACGGCGUUCGCGCGCCUCUGCAACCUCCCGCCGCCCUGCCCGGCGUGCGCGCGGCUCGACGCCGUCCUCGGCGGGGCGCGCCCGGGAUCCUCCUACCGCGACCUCCUCUGCAGCUCCCACAGGGCCGAAGCGUCGUCUUCCCGGGCGUUCUGCCAUGACGGUGGCAUGGGCAUUGGGGACGUUUUGCGAGAUCGGCUUGCCGUCGACGACGAGAUCGAUCGCGCCGGGUACAGUGAGCUGAGGGCCUCCGACUCCGAGUCCGAGCUGAGAAGAAGAUCGCCGGAGGACGCCGCUGCCAUCGAUCGGUUGAAGGAGCAGCUUACUUUGACGCAAGUUCAGAGUGGCGUCCCGGACAGAACACACGCUGCUGAAGAUUCAAGGGAGCCGGGCAGCAUCGAGGCCGACAUUCAGUCAACUGAUCUUCCCACAAAAGAUGAAGAACCUCAUACGAAGGUUGCAAAUGGCGUUCUUCAAUCCGAGCUGAUGCAAGUUCAGAGUGGCAAAUUACACUCUGAAGAUCCAGACAACAUUCAGACAAGUGAUGUUUCAACAAAAGAUGAAGAACCCCAUACAGAUACAGGAGAUCAUAACCCAGAAGAAGAUGUGUGGCACGACGCUGAUGAUGGCGAACCAUCUGAAACCGAAGCUGCAGCGGAUGAGCCGGACCCUGAAUUUUCCGACAGAGCCACCACACGGCAGGAUUCCUUGAGAGUCCACCAGCACCUGAAGCUGCUGCUCUCGCAGCUCUCCACUUCGUCUUCUUUCCGGGCGCCCGACAGCCCGAGCGUGCAGGAGCAGCAGCACGAGCAGGCCGUGCUGCGCAACAUCACCAGGGCGCUCUCCCUGCAGCGGAACUACUCGGGCGUCUCCGACGGCAGCGUGGCCGGCGCUGAAGGUGAGGCUGAAGAGUGCGGCACGGUUGAUGAGCUGAAGCGGCGGGUGGAGCUGGACCGCAGGUCCAUGGCGCUCCUCUGGAAGGAGCUGGAGGAGGAGCGGAGCGCGUCGGCGGUGGCGACCAGCCAGGCCAUGGCCAUGAUCACCAGGCUGCAGGAGGAGAAGGCGGCCAUGCGGACGGAGGCCGCGCAGUACCGCAGGGUCAUGGAGGAGCAGAGCGCGUACGACCGGGAUGACGCCGAGCGGCUGGCCGGCGUCGUGCGGGAGCUCGAGGCCGAGGUCGAGGGAUACAAGGCCAGGCUCAGGGACCACGAGAUCGUCGGAGAGAUCCGCGACCAUAUGCGGCUCCUUCCGUGCCAGAGAGAAGGCGAAACCGGCGGCGUGCCCGGAGCGGCCGGAGAGGAAUUCUCCGGCGGCGGCUCCGAGGACGACGAGAACGCGCGCGCCUGGAAGCAGCUGAGGGGGCUGACGGACAGGCUCCACCGGCUCUCGAACAACAGCAGCGGGAGCGUCCAAGAACCGGAGCCCACCGACGUCGAACAAGAAGAAGAGGGCGGCGGCGGCAAGGAGGAGGACACGACGGAAGCUUCGGUGGUCGGCAAGCGCGUGAGGAACGGCGACAACUUCACGAAAUGGCAGCAUCUUCAGUCCAUCGAGACGACGAGCAAGGGCUCCACUCACGGCCACGGCCACCGAGGAGACGACGGCGGCGGCGAGGGCGACGACACGGCCGCGUUGGAGGAGGAGAUCGGGGAGCUCAGCCGGCGGCUGCAGGCGCUGGAAGCGGAUCGGAGCUUCCUGGAGCACAGCGUGAACUCGCUGAGGAACGGGAGGGACGGCGAGGCGGUGAUCCACGACAUCGCUCGCAGCCUCAGAGAGCUCCGGAAGACGCUUGGAGAAGAUACCAUGGCUAGCUGA
rnacentral:rRNA from 1 species